CCCCUUAGAUGUUCUGGGCCGCACGCGCGCUACACUGAUGCAUUCAACGAGUCUAAAACCUGGUCUGAGAGGGCUGGGUAAUCUUUUGAAAGUGCAUCGUGAUUGGGAUAGAUGAUUGCAAUUCUUCAUCUUCAACGAGGAAUGCCUAGUAAACGCAAGUCAUCAGCUUGCAUUGAUUACGUCCCUGCCCUUUGUACACACCGCCCGUCGCUCCUACCGAUUGAACGAUCCGAUGAAAACUGUGGAUUGAGAGUCUGAGUGGGUUCGCCUACCUCAACUUUCGAGAAGCGGUUUAAAUCUUAUCGUUUAGAGGAAGGAGAAGUCGUAACA
rnacentral:rRNA from 1 species